CCAGCUACCCGAGGAACGGAAGGUUCGUGAUCUCCGAACAACGUGAAAUGGUAAAGCUUCGAAGUCCAGGUAGGGGACUCGGGACUCUCUAUUGGCUAGUGAUUUUCCAUAUUUGAUUAUAUACGUGAUGCAUGAUGAAAGUACACUGUGAGUUCAAAUUUAAAAUGUUUUUAAGCUAACGUGCGUAUAAGAUUGUUGAUGGCGGUGUGUGAGAGCGGAAAGGUGGUCGAUGACUUCCUUGGGGAUUAGUCACCCCUAAACCUCCGGAGGGUUAGCUACACCGGUCGGACGGUGCGCAAUCGCAAUGACGACCCGGUUCCGUGUGUGUAGCUAGUGUGUUAAGUUUGGCGCUCUGUGACUGGUAAGGUCAGAUGUUGGUUCUACGAAACCAGACCAUCAAUAUGGAUGCAGGUACUGUGCACUGGUGACGGGACAGUGGAUACAGAGCUGGGUGUGCGGAGCAAGUUCGGUAACUCCUUGUUUGGAUUCUAUUCUAAAUUCUACUUCUCGAACUUCGUGUUUCGGAGCUUGUUGUUAUCUAGCCUCGUGUUAAAUUUAGUUGAAUUCUCUUUCAUUGAAUUCAUACUUCGUGUGA